rnacentral:pre_miRNA from 1 species
UUAUGAUUUAUUUUGAGAUCUUGUUAAAAUGAAAGUUUUUAAUUUAGCAGGUCUGAAGAGAGAUCUGAGAGUCCUCAUUUCUAACAAGUUCCCAAUGAGUUAGAC